rnacentral:rRNA from 1 species
AACGAACGCUGGCGGCAGGCCUAACACAUGCAAGUCGAGCGAAGCCUUCGGGCUUAGCGGCGGACGGGUGAGUAACGCGUGGGAACGUGCCCUUUGGUACGGAAUAGCCCCGGGAAACUGGGAGUAAUACCGUAUGUGGUCGAGAGACGAAAGAUUUAUCGCCAAGGGAUCGGCCCGCGUUGGAUUAGGUAGUUGGUGGGGUAAUGGCCUACCAAGCCGACGAUCCAUAGCUGGUUUGAGAGGAUGAUCAGCCACACUGGGACUGAGACACGGCCCAGACUCCUACGGGAGGCAGCAGUGGGGAAUCUUAGACAAUGGGGGAAACCCUGAUCUAGCCAUGCCGCGUGAUCGAUGAAGGCCUUAGGGUUGUAAAGAUCUUUCAGUGGGGAAGAUAAUGACUGUACCCACAGAAGAAGCCCCGGCUAGCUCCGUGCCAGCCGCCGCCGUAAUAC